rnacentral:rRNA from 1 species
GAUGAACGCUGGCGGCGUGCCUAAUACAUGCAAGUCGAGCGAACAGACGAGGCGCUUGCGCCUCUGACGUUAGCGGAGGACGGGUGAGUAACGCGUGGAUAACCUACCUAUAAGACGGGGAUAACUUCGGAACACCGGAGAUAAUACCGGAGAAUAUAUUGAACCGCAUGGGUCGAUGGUGAAAGACGGUUUUGCUGUAACGUCUAGAGGGAUCCGCGCCGCAUUAGCUAGUUGGGAAGGUAACGACUUACCACGGCGACGAUGCGUUGCCGACCUGAGGGGGUGGUCGGCCGCACUGGAGCUUAGCCACGGUCCAGGCUCCUGCGGGAGGCAGCAGUCGCGAAUGUUCCGCAAUGGGCGGAAGCAUGACGGAGCAACGCCGCGUGAGUGAUGACGGUCUUCGGAUCGUAAAACUCUGUUAUUAGUGAAGAACAAAUGUCUACUUAACUAUGCACUUCUUGACGGUACCGAAUCAGAAAGCCCCGGCUAACUACGUG